UCUCCGUUGGUGAACCAGCGGAGGGAUCAUUACUGAGUUACCGCUCUACAACCCUUUGUGAACAUACCUAACUGUUGCUUCGGCGGGCAGAGGUCCCUCGCGUAUCUCUCCCGGCAACGCCCUCACGGGCGGAGCGCCCGCCGGAGGAUACCAAACUCUAUUUUAACGACGUUUCUUCUGAGUGGCACAAGCAAAUAAUUAAAACUUUUAACAACGGAUCUCUUGGUUCUG
rnacentral:misc_RNA from 1 species